UUUGGUUUUGCUUUUGUGUUUUGGUAAGUCAAACUUUUCUUUCAGAACAAUUUUAGCAUUACAGAAAAAUAGCAAAGGUAGUACAGGGAGUUGACACACAACCUACACUCAGUUUCCGCUAUUAUUAUCAUCUUACAUUAGUAUGAUGUAUUAAUUAAUGAACCAUAGUGAUAUAUUAUUAUCAACUAAAGUUCAUACUUUAUAUUUCCUUAGUUUUAUGUACUAUUCUUUUCCUGUUCCAGGAUCCCGUUGAUCCAAAACAAAUAGACUGCCAACUAUUUCUCCAGAAAAGAUGGGUUUAUUUGAGAUCAGCAGAGAAUUGUAAUUUGGGGUCUGUAAACAUGGUGAGCCAUGUGCAAGUCCAGCACAGUAAAGAAAGAACUCUGUUAUGGAAAGGAAAAGGAAGUUGAGAGGGCUGUAGUAAACAAAGAAGACAUGGCUUUUCCUUCGCUGAGUGUUGCCGAGUCUUUUUUCUACUUGUUGGGUUCUGUUACCAUCGUGGAGGAUGUGAGCUCCUCCUUCUGGUCUCCCAACUCUAUUUAAUCGAGGAUUCUGUUUAUGAUUUAUAGUCCCAUCCAAGAUACCACAUUCCAUUUAGCUAUCUUGUCUCCUUAGUUUUUCUGGACCAGAGAUUUGUCUCUUUUCCAGAAUUUAUUAAUGUAUUGAAUCAUUUAUUCACAUCGAUAUGAGUUCUAGCCUUUUCAUGGUCACAUUCUUAUGGGCUUAGUUGUAUCUUCCCCAAAUCCAUAUGUUGAAGCCCUCACCUACAGUACCUCAGAAUGUGACUAUUUGGAGGUAGAGCCUUUAAAGAGGUGGUAAAGUUAAAAUGAGGCAUUUUAGUGUAGGUCUUAAUCCAAUCUUACUGAUAUCCUUGUAAGAAGAGGAAAUUUGGACACAUAGAGACAUACCAGGGAUGUGUGUGCACAGAGGAAAGAACUCGUGAGGACGCAGCAAGAAGAUGGCCAUCUGCAAGCAAGAAGUAGGGCCUUAGAUAAACCAAACAUUGCUGACACCUUGAUUUAGCCUCCAGAACAGCAAGAAAACAAAUUUCUAUUGUUUAAGCUACCCAGUCUGUCGUAUUUCAUAACGAAGCCAAGCAAACUAAUACAGAGACCUCAUUUCCUUCUUAAAAUUUUAUUUUUUCAUGAAAUUUUGCUUUUAUUUUUAAAUUUUUAAUGAUUUUUAUUUUUUCUAUUAUAGUUGGUUUACAGUGUUCUGUCAGUUUUCUACUAUACAGCAAAGUGACCCAGUCAUAGAUAUAGAUAUAGAUCUAUCUAUCUAUUUACAUACAUUCUUUUUCUCACAUUAUCCUCCAUCAUGCUCCAUCACAAGUUACUAGAAAUAGUUCUCAGUGCUAUACAGCAGGAUCUCUUUGCUUAUCCAUUCCAAAGGCAAUAGUUCACAUCUAUUAAUGCCAUAUUCCCAGUCUGUCCCACUUCAUCCCUCUCCCCCUUGACAAUCACAAGUCUCUUCUCCAAGUCCAUGAGUUUUUCUUCUGUGGAAACGUUCGUUUGUGCCAUAUAUUAGAUUCCAGAUAUACGUGAUGUCAUAUGGUAUUUGUCUUUCUCUUUCUGACUUCACUUAGUAUGCUAGUCUCUAGUUCUUUCCAUGUUGAGAGAUCUCAUUUCAUUUAUUGCUGGAUAUCCAUUUUGGAGAUAUAUUCAUUGAUCUAUUGAAAGACAUCUUGGUGCCUCUAGUCUUUAGGGAUUGUAAACAUUUGGCUGCUAUAAACAUUCACAUGCAGUUUUUCCAUGGACAUAAAAUUUUAAACCAGCUGUGUUUCAUAGUUUUCUUUGUUCUUAAAUCUUCUCUGUUUGAAAUUAAUACACUGCUGCAGCUUCUUAAAAUACUGUGUUAUCAUAGCCUAUCCCUAUUUUUAACCUGUCUUUAUAUUUAAAGUGGUUUCUUGUAGAUAACAGAGAGUUCAUUUUUGUUUUUCUAGCCACUCUGAAAACUUCUGUCAUUUAAUUGGUAUAUUUAGACCAUUUAUAUUUGAAAUAAUUAUAGUUUUUUUUCUAUUUUUAUUUUUUUCCCACUGUACAGCAAAGGGAUCAAGUUAUCCUGACAUGUAUACAUUUUUCCCCCACCCUUUGUUCUGUUGCAAUAUGAGUAUCUAGACAAAAUUCUCAAUACUACUCAGCAGGAUCUCUUUGUAAAUCUAUUCUAAGUUGUGUCUGAUAAGCCUAAGCUCCUGAUCCCUCCCAUUCCCUCCCUCUCCCAUCAGGCAGCCACAAGUCUUGAAAUAAUUAUAGUUUUGUAUUUUAACCUUUAUACUUGCUUCAUAAGUGAUUGAUCUACUACCUUUACUAAAUAUUUACUCUUUCCAGUGAGAUUUUUAUUUUUAUACAUAUUCUUAAUAUUAAUUAGUGUCUUUUUAGCUUAGAUAAGAAGUCCUUUAAACAUUUCUCGUAAGGCUGGUUUAUUAUUGAUGAACUCCAUUAGCUUUUGCUUAUUUGGAAAAUUCAUAAUCUCUCCUUCAAUUAUGAAUGACAACCUUGCUGGAUAAAAAAUUCUUGGUUGGAAAUUUUUUCCCUCAGCACUUUGACUAUAUCAUACCAUACCUUUUUGGUUGGUAAAUUUCUGCUGAAAAAUCUGGUGAUGGGAUUUCCCUUGUAUAUAAGAAGUUGUUUUUUUUCUUGCUGAUUUUAUGAUUCUCUCUUUAUUUCUAAUUUUUACCAUUUUAGUUAUAAUGUGUCUUGAUGUGGUUCUCUUUGGGUUCAUCUUACUUGGAAGUCUCUUGGCUUUCUGAACCUGAGUGUCUAUUUCCCUCCCCAGAUUAAGGGCUUUUCAGCCAUUAUUUUUUCAAAUACUUUUUCUGUCCCUUUCUUUCUUGUCUUUCUGGGGGCCUAAUAAUGUAUAAUUCUGCUUGAUGUUGUCCCAGAGGUCCCUUAUAGUAUCUUCCCUUUUUAAAAUUCUUUUUCAUUUUGCUGCUCUUUCUGGUGAUUUUCAUUGCUUUGCCUUCCAGCUGGCUGAUUUGUUGUUUUACUUCAUCCAGUCAGCUGUUGUGCUUCUAAAGUGAUUCUUGCCGUUCAGUUAUAACUUCUGUUUUCUAAUUCUUAUAUUUUCUAUCUCUAUGUUGAAGCUCACUGUGUUCAUCUAUUCUUCACCUGAGGAUGGUAAGCAACUUUAUGACCAUUACUUUGAACUCUAUAGAUUGCUUCUCCAUUUCUUAAGAUCUUUUUCUGGGGAGUUGUCUUGUUCUUAGGUUUAGUUUGGGAUUUGUCUGUCUCUUCAUUUUUCCUACCUUUGAAUUUGUCUAUAUGUAUUAAAUGAAACAGGCUACCUCUCUCAGGCUUGAAGGAGUGUUCUUAUGUAGGAUAAGAUCUGUGGGACCUGGAAGUGAAGUCUUCCCUGGCCAUCAGAGUCAAGCCUGCAAAAGGUAUCCCACAUGUGGGCUGUGUGUUCCUGCCAGCUCUAUUUGUAUUUUAACCUUUAUACUUGCUUCUGUGUGGGGAGGGCAGUGCUGUGUAAUUGUUCAGCCCAUUUAUGAUGAAACUGCUGUGUGGGGUGGGUGGAAUGCAGAGUGCUUGCCUAGCUUUGUUGUGCUGCUGUUACUAUGUGAGGUGAGUGGGGGCUUGGGGUUCUCACCCAGAUGUUACCUGGGUUGUGGCAUGGGGUAGAGUAUAUGCACCCAUGCUAAUAGAUUGGAGAGAGGGCAACAAAAGUGACACCCACCAGUUCUGUCAUCCAUGAGUUAGGAUGAAAUUGCAAAAAUGGUACCCACCAGUGCUUUCAUCCCUGGUGAAAGUCCCAGAAGUUUCCUGCCUCUCCCUCUACAUCUGCUUUAAAAUAGGUUGACUUCUUUUGAUUAUGUUCUAGGCAUUUUUCAAAGUGUUGCUUUUGUGCUGAAUAUCAGUACAAAUGGGUCUGUGCAUGAGUCCUUUAAGAGUGGAUUCUCCAUUCUCAACAAUUUUAUGGUUCUUUUGGUCUUAAUCCCCAUUGAUUUUCAAAACCAAAUAUUUUGGGGACUUGUCUUCCUGAUGCUGAACCCAGAGUCAGGGUGGCUGAAGUGGGACUCAAUCCCUCCACUCCUCAAGGGAAGGUUUUACAUUUUUGGCACCUCUCUCAAUUGUCAUCACUGCUCCUGAGGUGUCCUCUGGUAUGAGACUGUACCUCUGCUUCUCUUUCCUGUCUCCGUGCAUCUCUCUUACCAUUUAUUGUAGACAUGCUGUUCAUCUAUGUCUCAGGUCCUUUUCAGAGGAAAAUUAUCCCAUGUGUAGUUGUAUAUUUGUUGUGUCCCUAGGAGGAGGUGUGUUUGGGGUCUUCCUAUGCUCACCCUGAACCCCUCUCUCAAAAAACAAAAUAUUUUAUUUUAUCUACAUUUAUCUCUUCUCUGAGUUCAUGAUCUAAUGACCUAUAUCAUUUUACUUCACAGAAUGAAUAGUAAUGAAGUUAGUAUAUAUUUCUAUCUUUUUAGGCCCUUAUCUUUAUGAAAUGAUUUCCGUAGAUGACAUCAUUUUUCUUAGAUUAUCUGUAUUUACUUCCUUUAAGGAAACUUAUACCACUCAUUUAAUUUGUUAAGUAAUAUAUUUUAUAUUCUGUAUGUGAAAUUUGAGAUAAUCAAUUUUACACACAUCUUUUUUUUUCCCAGUAUAUAAUUUUGUAUUAUUUCCAGUUCAUUUUAAUUCUCCCCAUACCUCUUCUCUAUAACUCUGACUGUGUUUUGGCAGGCUUGUUUUCUUUACAUUACUUCUCUGACAGAUUUCAUUUUUCCUGUGAUUCUUUUUACUUCUUUUCUGAGCUCUGAAAGAUUAUGUUUCAUCUCACUGUUGUUCCACUAUUUUUUUUUUUUGAGUUUUUGUAAUUCUUCUUUGACCUCUUGGAUUAAUUCACUUGAUUAUUUUUAAUUUAUGGCUACAUUCUUGGCCUACAUUUUUAUCUGCUUAGUGGAAAUAUUUUUUCAUGUUUUUACUGUUCCCUUCUUCUUAAAGAAUUUUUAAAUGACUUUGUGUUGUAUCCUUUUUUAAAAUUAUUGUAAUUCAUUUUUGAUCGAGGUGACAAAUCACAUUUGAGUCAGUUAAAUACACAAAACCUAUGUGGAAAGGCAAUAUUAUAAAUGGCAGAGAUGAAUAGGUAUGUGAGUUGUUUAGGCAUUACUUGCCCUCCUUUUCCCAUAUAACCUAUUGACUUUUUAGUUACCAAAAAAUGACUAGAAUUAAGACAUUUAGAAUGGAUAAGCAAUGAGGUCCUACUAUACAGUGCAAGAAACUAUAUCCAAUCACUUGGGAUAGAACAUGAUGGAGAUAAUAUGAGAAAAAGAAUGUAUAUAUAUAUAUAUAUGUGUGUGUGUGUGUGUGUAUAUGUACACACACACACACACACACACACACACACACAUAUGAGACUGGGUCACUAUGCUGUAUAGCAGAAACUGACACAACCUGUAAAUCUACUAUAUUCUAAUAAAAAUAGAAUUAAGAAAAGAAAAGAGAGGAAACUCAAAAAGAAAGAAACUCCUUAGACUCACCUGCAGACUCUUUUCAAUAAAGAUGCCAUGUCUGUGUUAUCUCAUUCUGUAAUAUUAAAUUUAACAUUGGAAAAUCCA
rnacentral:lncRNA from 1 species